GCUGUCUCAAUUCUAAAUGUUAUUCAUUUUGUUUUUGCUUAUCUGUUUUACUUUUUUGACUACCUGAUUUUACUACAUGCUUUUUGGCUAUAUGUAUGGUUAUGUGCUUGUAAUAAUGUUUUCUGCUUGGGGUGUGAAUUAUAAGGUUGCUUUUACCUAAAUACUUUUUAUUCUAGGCACAAUGGGUAUGGUAAUAUAACAUUGUUGUGCUCUUGGUCUUUAAUCGGGUGCUUGUGUGUGCUUUUUUUUAGAUGAUAAUGUUCUUUUAUUUUAUUUCAUGCUUAUAUGUGUGCUUUUUCAUUUGAAUCUUUGCUUAUUG
rnacentral:lncRNA from 1 species